CCGUGCUAGACGGGGAGGUAGCGGUGCCCUGUACCUGCAAUCCGCUAUAGCAGGGUUUAAUUCCUAACUUAGGUUUCAUUUUGUAGGGUCUGGCUGCAGUAAGUGGCGUUGACGGUUUGGCCCUGCGCAACGAAGAUUCAUGAACCCCGUCAGAUCCGGAAGGAAGCAGCGGUAAGUGAACCCCUUCGUGUGCCGCAGGUAAGCCUGACCUGAGUUAACUGCUGUGGGACCGCCUGUAAAAUGCUAUCGAAGUUAGGUGCCGG
rnacentral:SRP_RNA from 1 species